UGACAUAUUUUGUAGGAAGUAAGUGGUCAGUGAAGGAGAGAGGAGUCCCCCUUGGUGACUGGGAAAAUGGACAUCAAACAUUGAGAACUCAGCAAAAGUAUUUAUUAAAGAAAUAAAAUCGCCUGCACUUGGAUCAUGGAUGGUGAUAUGGUUUGGAUUUGCUGCUCUACCCAAAUUUCACGUUGAAUUCCAAUCCCCAAUGUUGGAGAGGGUCCAGGUUUCACUGUGAGGAAACCAACCGUACAGAAAAAACUCUCCCUUAAACUGAUAUCAAGCCAUUGUCAAGCGCAUUGUUUUAUCUCUUUAAUGUCUCAUGAAACCAUCAACUGCUCUCCAAAUUCAAGAAAACCGUCACCUGUCUGGAAUACUUAAAUGACCUUUUAAUAAUCCACGUGUUUUUCUAACAUGUCCUCCUGCUAAUCUCUACAUUUGAGCCAAUGUCAUCUUGGCAAAAUGCCAGAUUGCUGAUGUCACUACUGCUCAGACCAUCACAGCAUCUCUACUUAAACUCUCAAACAACUUUGAAAGACUCUUAUAAGGAAAAUCAAAACCCUUAGGCUCACAUGUCCCCUCCCUCACACUCAAUAAUAUUCUACACAAAGUUUUUGCCUAGUGUAAUUAACAGGUUUUUCAGGUGAAUGAUUCCGAUAUUUUUUGACAAUAAGAUAAAUCUAGGAGUUGAAGUUAAAAAUCAGAAUUUCAUUUGUGACUCACAUAUGCAAUGUUGCUGUGAAAAAAAUGAGUUUAUUGCUUUUUAAAAAAUCUUACUAUAAAAAUUAAGAGUUCUCUUUUAAAAGUGUCCAAGCAUCCAGUUUAUCUCCAGACCCAUUGCAUUUCUGUGUGGCAUGCCAGCCUGGUGAGAGAAGGGACACAUACUCAGUGAGUGAAGCUAACAGAGUUCAUGAAACCAAAUGGAAGCCCUGAAAUCUCCAACUAAUCGACAGUAUGUCUUCUGAAAGCAGGCCGUGAGAGUUACCAAGUCUGAUUAUUACCAGCAAGGGUUACAAAAUUUUCCCUUUCACUGCCUUAGUCAUAGUAGAAAAUACAACAAACUAUGACCAGUUACAAGAUACUAAAAGCCCAAAUGUCCAACAAAUAUGGGAAUUUAUUACAGCUCUCUUGAGCUGCAAAGAUUUCCUCUGAGAAAUACUUAGAGCAUAGUGAUUAAGACUCACUUACUGAGGAGGGAAAAUGUAUUGUCUGUGGGUAGCUCUGUUUUGUGCAAAUUUCAUACACAAAAUCUUUGUCCAAUUCUAGGCAGAUAAAUUUGUAAACCUAGAAAAAAAUUGACAAUUUAAUAAAACAAUAUAACUCACCAAACUUGACCCUAUUAGAGACAAAAAUCAAAAUGCCUAUUUUGACAGGAAAAUUAGAGAAAUCUCUCUCAAGUCUUUGUAAAAAUAAAUUGCCAAGAAAAGAUGGUUUUACAGGAAAAUGUUACCAAAAUUUUAAGGAUAAGACCAUUUCAAUGCCAUUAUUCCACAACAUAGAGAAAGGAUUAAAUUUUUCAAAUAAUUUUAAGAAAAUGAUAUAAAAUCUGAAUUGGAUAAAGAAAAUGUAGUAUAUAUACACCAUGGAAUACUAUACAGCCAUAAAAAGAAAUGAAAUCAUGUCCUUUGUAGCAACAUGGAUGGAGCUAGAGGUCAUUAUCCUAAACAAACUAACGCAGAGACAGAAAACAAAAUACCACAUGUUCUCACUUAUAAGAGGGAGCUAAACAUCGGGUACACACAGACACAAAGAUGGUGAAAAUAAACACUGGGGAUUCCAAAAGGAGAGAAGGAGAGAAGGAGAGAAGGAGGCAAGGAUUGAAAAAUUACCUGUUGGGUACUAUGUUCACUACUUAGGUGAUGGAUGGGGAUCAUUAGAAGCUCAAACCUCAGCAUCACACAGUAUAGCCAUGUAGCAAAUCUGCACCUGUACCCCU